UGGUCAAGCGAGCGAAAGCAUGUGGGGGAUGCCUGGGCACACGAAGGCGACGAAGGCCGCGGUAAGCUGCGAUAAGCUCGGGGGAGCGGCACACACGCAAUGAUCCCGAGAUGGCCGAAUGGGGAAACCCGUCCGUCAGUAAUGGCGGUCACUCCAGGCGUAAGCCAGGAGAGCUAACCCGGGGAACUGAAACAUCUAAGUACCCGGUGGAAAGAGAAAUCAACCGAGAUGCCCUGAGUAGCGGCGAGCGAAACGGGUAGAGCCCAAACCGUGGUCCUUGUGGCCGCGGGGUUGUAGGACCCACGCACGCGUACGGAGACGUCAGUCGAAGUCCUCUGGAAAGGGGCGCCAUAGACGGUGACAGCCCGGUAGGCGAAGACUAUGAACCUUACGUAGUGGAGUUCCUGAGUAACGCCCGACCCGAGUAAUCGGGCGUGAAGCUGGGGGGACCACCCUCCAAGGCUAAAGACUCUCGUGUGACCGAUAGUGAACGAGUACCGUGAGGGACAGGUGAAAAGCACCCCAGUGCGGGGAGUGAAAGAGAUCCUGAAACCACAUGCUUACAAGCGGUAGGAGGCUGGGCGCGGGCUUGCCUGCGUCACGGCUGACUGCGUGCCUUUUGCAUUAUGAUCCGGCGAGUUACUCGUCGGCAGCGAGGCUAAGCUGCUUAGCAGCGGAGCCGCAGCGAAAGCGAGUCCUGUAACGAGGGCGUCAAGUUGCCGGCGGUACGACCCGAAGCCAGGGCGAUCUACCCAUGAGCAGGUUGAAGCUGCGGUAACACGCAGUGGAGGACCGAACCGGUGUGGGUUGAAAACCGCUCGGAUGACUUGUGGGUAGGGGUGAAAGGCCAAUCAAGCCUGGAGAUAGCUGGUUCUCCCCGAAAUCUAUUGAGGUAGAGCCUCGAGGCGUGUUAGCAGGGGGUAGAGCGACUGGAUGGGCGCGGGCCGGCGUAGCCGGUACCAAUCCCAACCAAACUCCGAAUACCUGCCUAAUGGACCUCGGGAGGCAGUCGUUGAGCGAUAAUGUCCAACGGCGAGAGGGAAAGAACCCAGAGCCACAGCUAAGGCCCCGAAGUGGCCGCUGAGUAUAGCGAAGGAUGUGUCCGUGCCGUGACAACUAGGAGGUUGGCUUAGAAGCAGCCAUUCCUUUAAAGAGUGCGUAAUAGCUCACUAGUCCAGCGUGGAUGCGCCGAGAAUGGUCGGGAUUAAGCGGCCCGCCGAAGCUUGGCCUUCUGACUUUGUCAGAGGGGUAGGGGAGCGUUCCGUACUGCAGUGAAGGGACCGUGGAAACGAGUCCUGGAGCGUACGGAAGUGAGGAUGCCGGACUGAGUACGCGCAAAUGCGGGUGAAAACCCCGCACACCGUAAGCCCAAGGAUUCCUGCGCCAUGGCAAUCAGCGCAGGGUGAGGCGGACCCUAAGACGAGGCCCCAGAGGCGUAGUCGAUGGACAGCCGGUUAAUAUUCCGGCCCCGCCUACAGUGUGUUAACAACUCCGUAGGGACCCAGGAACGAGAUGCGAGCGGCUUUGUGGAUUGGCCGUUCAAGGGCGUAGGCGCAAGCCGAGACCCGAGUACGAGAGCGCGGGGCAACCCAAGCUCAAGUCGUGUGGAGUCUACUGGCAAGAAAAGCUACGCGAGUGAAUGCUGUAGGUGUCCGUACCGUAAACCGACACAGGUGGGCAAGGCGAGUAGCCUAAGGUGAACGAGUGAAACCGGGUCAAGGAACUCGGCAUAAUGAUCCCGUAACUUCGGAAGAAGGGAUGCAAGAAAGGGUGUAGGGUACACCGAAGCUCUUUUUUGUCGCAGAGAAUCGGCCCAAGCGACUGUUUAGCAAAAACACAGGUGUGUGCCAAGCCGCACAAGGCGCCGUAUACACACUGACGCCUGCCCGGUGCCGGAAGGUUAAGGGGAGAUGUUAGCCGUAAGGCGAAGCAUUGAGCCGAAGCCCCGGUAAACGGCGGCCGUAACUAUAACGGUCCUAAGGUAGCGAAAUUCCUUGUCGGGUAAGUUCCGACCUGCACGAAUGGCGUAACGACUUGGGCACUGUCUCGACCCGGUGCUCGGCGAAAUGGCAGUCUCGGUGAGGAUUCCGAGUCCCCGCAGCAGGACAAAAAGACCCCAUGCACCUUUACUGUAGUUUGCCAUUGGUCGUCGCACGUGACUGUGUAGCAUAGGUGGGAGCCGUUGAGGCCCGGGCGCUAGCUCGGGAUUAGGCAUCAGUGAAAUACCACCCUGUCUCGUGUAACGUCCUCACCACGCUCGAGAAAACCUCGGCUGGGACCGUGGCAGACGGGCAGUUUGACUGGGGCGGUCGCCUCCGAAAGAGUAACGGAGGCGCGCGCAAGGUUCCCUCAGCGCGGUCGGUACUCGCGCUUUUGAGUGUAACGGCAUAAGGGAGCCUGACGGUGAGACCGACGGGUCGAGCCGCCACGAAAGUGGGCCGUAGUGAUCCGGUAGCCCGGUGUGGAUCGGCUAUCGCGCAACGGAUAAAAGGUACGCUGGGGAUAACAGGCUUAUCGCGCCCGAGAGUUCACAUCGACGGCGCGGUUUGGCACCUCGAU
rnacentral:rRNA from 1 species